rnacentral:rRNA from 1 species
AUUGAACGCUGGCGGCAGGCCUAACACAUGCAAGUCGAACGAGUGGCGGACGGGUGAGUAAUGUCUGGGAAACUGCCUGAUGGCGGGGGAUAACUACUGGAAACGGUAGCUAAUACCGCAUACCAUCAGAUGUGCCCAGAUGGGAUUUGCUAGUUGGUGGGGUAACGGCUAACCAAGGCGACGCUCCCUAGCUGGUCUGAGAGGAUGACCAGCCACACUGGCACUGAGACACGGUCCAUACUCCUACGCGAGGUAGCAGUGGGGAAUAUUGCACAAUGGGCACAAGCCUGAUGCAGCCAUGCCGCGUGUAUGAAGAAGGCCUUCGGGUUUUAAAGUACUUUCAGCGGGGAGGCGUGACCCGCAGAAGAAGCACCGGCUAACUCCGUGCCAGCAGCCGCGGUAAUAC